rnacentral:lncRNA from 1 species
AAAACAAGAAAUCAUCUCACAACAAGAAGGAAUACUCUCUAUCAAGGAAAGGAAUCAUGAAGACUCUACUCUCACUCUUCUGUCUGGUUACUUACCUCACCUGUGCUCUCAGUGCUAAUGGCUGGCCAGUCUCUCUUGACAUGGCUUGUAAUAAAGCUCUUUCUGCAGUUGCUUGCUCUUUUGA